rnacentral:tRNA from 1 species
GGGACAUAGUUCAGUGGUAGAUCACUUUCCUAGCAGGUGAGAGGUUCUGGGUUUGAUUCCCCAGUGCUUCCA